rfam:Ciona intestinalis ciona0023, whole genome shotgun sequence.
AAGAUCAUACUUUUAGGGAUCAUUUAUACAGUGUGUAUCUUGAAAACGUCGUCAUAUUGUGCGAUGAUGAGUCGCAGGAUUUUCCUCUGAGCAUGAAGCUUUACUGUUUGUAAUUUUAUUUACAAACGGUAAUUGAGGAUUGUUUUCAUUGCUGUUGUAGUAAUGAAACGAGGAGAAUUCUUGCUGAGCAGU